AUGCAGCGGGACCAGGGUACGUUGCCUAUUGUUUAAAUUACUCUGCUCUGUAAUAACUGUGCAUGUCCAAAACAUGAGCUUUUCACAAGCUUAGAAAAUCACCAAUGAUAAUUAAAUGGGUAUUAACUUUAAGAUUUACAAAGUAGGAUCAUUUUUUUUCAACCCACAGACAUGACAUUCAGCUUGUCUGAAUUUUUUUUUUAAUAACCAUAACAUUUG
rnacentral:misc_RNA from 1 species